rnacentral:misc_RNA from 1 species
AAGUCGUAACAAGGUUUCCGUAGGUGAACCUGCGGAAGGAUCAUUAAUGAAUUAUGAAAGGGUUGUUGCUGACUGUUAGCAGCAUGUGCACGCUCUGAUCAUUAUCCAUCUUACACACCUGUGCACACACUGUAAGUCGGCUUUUGAUGCAAAGUAAGGGUCUUCAUUGACUCUGCUUUAAAUUGGGAGCCUGCUUAUGUUUUAUCACACACUACUUCAGUUUAAAGAAUGUCAAAUCGCGUUUAACGCAUUUAAAUACAA